GUUAUUUUUUAAAAAUUUUUAUAAGGUUUAGCCGACGAAAUAUUUUAUAUUUCGUCGGCUAUAGUUAUUUUUUUAAAUUUUUUAUAAGGUUUAGCCGACGAAAUAUUUUAUAUUUCGUCGGCUAUAGUUAUUUUUUUAAAUUUUUUAUAAGGUUUAGCCGACGAAAUAUAGUAAAUUUCGUCGGCUAUAGUUAUUUUUUAAUUAUUUAUUACACACUUUAGCCGACGAAUAUAUUAAUUGUUUCGUCGGCUAAAGUCUGGAAAAAAAACCGACGACAUGUUUUUCGUCCGCUAACUGUGGGACUAUAGCCGACGAAAAAAAAAAUUUCGUCGGCUAAAGUCAUCACAGACGAGCUUUUCCCGACGACACUAUAGCCGACGAGCCUUCGUCGGCUAAGAUCUUAGCCGACGAAUUAAGAUAACAGGCCGACGAAAAUUUUUCGUCGGCUAAAGUGCUUGUCCUGGUAGUGGCGGGAUGGCCUAGUAAUAUACUCCUCCAUCCUCUCGUCGUCAUCCAUUAUCGGCUGAAAGGAUGUGCUAGCCCCACUUAAGUCGGUUGUACUCCGGGAAUCCAUCUACCCUAAUAUAGCAAACCUUAAGGGCUAUUAGUGUGCGCCGUCGGGAGCAAGCGCAAAGAAAAACAGAAAAACAGAAAAACACAGCCUAAAUUCAGAAAGCCCUAGAAUCCUAAAAUUCUAAAAUUCCCAGUUUCACCCAAAACCAUACAAAAGCAACACAAACACAGAGAAAGCCAAAGCAGAGGCAAAAAGCAUAAACAAACAUCAGUGCAGAAGAACAAAGCGCAACAGAAUGAAGCAAAACCUUACCAGAAAUUCGACGCCGUAGCAACGCCGGCAACGCAGACGUCAAGAAACACCUCGCAAUUGCAGGGCUAAGAGAAGGUAGAGAGCAGAAAGAGAGAACAAAAAGAGAGAAAGCAGCGAACAGAGAGAGAAGCAGAGAAAUUAGAGAGCAAAGCGCAGAAAAACCAGCGCAACAGAGAAGCAUAGAGCAGAGAAAGAGUAAAGUGAGAGUGAAGAAGAAAAACAAAAGGGGGGAAGAAUUUAUACAUGACCAGCGAGCAGUCGCCUCGAUCCACGAACCGACGCAUUAAAAAAACCAGUACCAGAAAACGAGGCACCCCUAGCCAGCUGAUCAAACCGCAGGAUGGUGCCACGUAGCUUAACUACCGUAGCUUCUUGAAGAAGGAAAGAGUGAAGCGACAUGCAUUAAUUGCUUGGCAGUUGCAGGAAUAUCGCGACAUCUGGCGUGCAUGCAUUUAAUGCCCCUGCCACUGUUAUGCGCACACUCUCAAGUGUAAGACCAAUCUCGGGUGAGUCACCAAGAUCAUGAAGUGCAAGUGUAAGACCCAUCUCGGGUGAGAGUCACCGAGAUCAUGAAGCGCAAGUGUAAGACCAAUCUCGGGUGAGAGUCACCGAGAUCAUGAAGUGCACGUGUAAGACCCAUCUCGGGUAAGAGUCAACGGGAUCAUGCAGCGCAUGUGUAAGACCAAUCUCGGGUGAGAGUCACCGACAGCGUUAGGCCAAGGAACGAUCCAUCCCGGAUAAGUGUCACCAGGAGGAAGCAUGUAACAACUGCCUCUCGAAAUGUUACGUCCCGAAUAAGUGUUUCUGGGACACCGGGGCAGGGCAAUUUAUAUCAUCCCUUUAAAAACGGAGCAAGUGGCUUGAUAAACCAUGGACGGCGUUAACACCCGGUCACUCGAGUAGUAACACCGGAUGAGGAAAGGGUUCGCUACCUUUGUCAAGGAAAGACUGUAACACCCGUUCAACCCACGUCAUGAGUCCGGACGUGGGGGGACUAUGGGCGGGACACACUUGAAAUAUACUAGUCUACGAGCUUCUUUUAGCAAGUCCCCACUCAAGAUGUGUCUUGAACGGGAACUUGGGGGGACUUGUAAUCGGUUGUGCAUAAAACAACCUCCCAAGCCCGUAAACCAGCAGGCAUUCUACCACAACCGAGGCCGCCCCGAAGUAUCCACCAAUAAGUAGGGUGGGCUGGGCCCGACCUUGGCGGCAGUAUUGGGCUGGGGGUGGAUUCAAAAGGCAUAAAGGAGCUGGAUGUGAAGUAACAGUAAAGACAGUUGUCCCACAUCGGUUUUCAGGUGAAGAGAAUCCACUCUGGGCCAUAAAUAUGGCCCAGCCACCAGCUUGUCAGGUAACAUUACUAUCCUCAAUAAUUACAUUCAACCACCAUAUACUGACUUAAGCUUCGGAUGAGGAAAGACCGGAAGCUCUCGGUCCCCUUUGUUAUUGUAGGACAACAGGAAGGUAGCAGACCAUCCACCUGGCAUAUUAUUAGCUUCUGCAAACCCAUUCGGGAUUGUACAGAAACACAUAGUUAAGCCACUUUUGAUAUAAUAACAAUCAAGGUAAGCCCAUAAAUUGUUUAAAGUUUGAUUUAUCAAUAAAGGGUUGUUGUAUUCAAAAAAAAGUUAAGCCCAUAAAUUAUGCAAUUUAGGGUCUAUCAGGUUGGGUCGGUCUGUCCAAAUAAUAACUAGUUAGUUCACACUUCACAAAGAUGCGUGUGAUUUCAUGUUUGAACAUGUUUUUUAAUUUUUGGCUACAAACUAUAAUGAAAAAAAAAUUAAGGAUAUCACAUUAACUUCUGAGUUAUUUUGCCAGAUCGUCGACACACACAAAUUUUUGUUACAUUGGUUGGUUUUCAAACUUAAUAUUAUAGACUUUGUAUUGGCCAGUGUCACGCUCGUUUAGUUCUUUUGUACAGUCAUACUAAGUUAGACUUUGCAAUAGAAAGAAAAUUCACAAUUUGUGCUAUAUUGAUAUCGGUAGCCAUACAUACGAGAAUUUUCACAGUUGGUAAAAUU
rnacentral:lncRNA from 1 species